UUGAACGCUGGCGGCAUGCUUUACACAUGCAAGUCGAACGGCAGCGCGGGCUUCGGCCUGGCGGCGAGUGGCGAACGGGUGAGUAAUGCAUCGGAACGUGCCCAGUAGUGGGGGAUAGCCCGGCGAAAGCCGGAUUAAUACCGCAUACGACCUGAGGGUGAAAGCGGGGACCGAAAGGCCUCGCGCUAUUGGAGCGGCCGAUGUCGGAUUAGCUAGUUGGUGGGGUAAAGGCUUACCAAGGCGACGAUCCGUAGCUGGUCUGAGAGGACGACCAGCCACACUGGGACUGAGACACGGCCCAGACUCCUACGGGAGGCAGCAGUGGGGAAUUUUGGACAAUGGGGGCAACCCUGAUCCAGCCAUGCCGCGUGCGGGAAGAAGGCCUUCGGGUUGUAAACCGCUUUUGUUCGGGAAGAAAUCCUCUGGGCUAAUACCCCGGGGGGAUGACGGUACCGGAAGAAUAAGCACCGGCUAACUACGUG
rnacentral:rRNA from 1 species